AUUGAACGCUGGCGGCAUGCCUUACACAUGCAAGUCGAACGGUAACAGGUCUUCGGAUGCUGACGAGUGGCGAACGGGUGAGUAAUACAUCGGAACGUGCCCGAGAGUGGGGGAUAACGAGGCGAAAGCUUUGCUAAUACCGCAUACGAUCUCAGGAUGAAAGCAGGGGACCGCAAGGCCUUGCGCUCACGGAGCGGCCGAUGGCAGAUUAGGUAGUUGGUGGGACAAAAGCUUACCAAGCCGACGAUCUGUAGCUGGUCUGAGAGGACGACCAGCCACACUGGGACUGAGACACGGCCCAGACUCCUACGGGAGGCAGCAGUGGGGAAUUUUGGACAAUGGGCGCAAGCCUGAUCCAGCCAUGCCGCGUGCAGGAUGAAGGCCUUCGGGUUGUAAACUGCUUUUGUACGGAACGAAUAGACUCUGGUUAAUACCUGGGGUCCAUGACGGUACCGUAAGAAUAAGCACCGGCUAACUACGUGCCAGCAGCCGCGGUAACAC
rnacentral:rRNA from 1 species